UAGUCCACGCCGUAAACGAUGAUCACUAAAUGUUCGGCCUUCGGGCUGAGUGUUCAAGCGAAAGCGAUAAGUGAUCCACCUGGGGAGUACGUUCGCAAGAAUGAAACUCAAAGGAAUUGACGGGGGCCCGCACAAGCGGUGGAGCAUGUGGUUUAAUUCGAUGAUACGCGAGGAACCUUACCUAGGCUACAAUGCCUCUGCCAGGCCCCGAAAGGGGUUGUUCCUUCGGGACAGAGUGCAAGGUGCUGCAUGGUUGUCGUCAGCUCGUGUCGUGAGAUGUUGGGUUAAGUCCCGCAACGAGCGCAACCCUCGCCUUUAGUUGCCAGCAUUUAGUUGGGCACUCUAAAGGGACUGCCGGUGAUAAGCCGGAGGAAGGUGGGGAUGACGUCAAGUCCUCAUGGCCCUUACGGGGCUGGGGGCUACACACGUGCUACAAUGGUGGUGACAGUGGGGCAGCGAGACCGCGAGGUCGAGCUAAAUCUCCAAAAAGCCAAUCUCAGUUCGGAUUGUUCU
rnacentral:rRNA from 1 species